rnacentral:lncRNA from 1 species
CAACAAGGACCCAGGACAUGAGGAAGACUUUUCUAGAGGGUCCUACAACUUUGGGCAUUCGGAGUCACGUGGAAGACACCAAAUCACCCCGUUGCAGACAGGCAGGUCUGCCCAUGCCCUACCGAGGUCCUGAGUUGCACAGAACAUGCCGAAUCAGCCCACUGGACACAGGAAGGUCUGUGCACACCCUACCGAGGUCCUGAGUCACGCGGAAGACACCAAAUCUCCUCACUGCAGACAGGCAUCCACCUGGUUCCACACUACAAAGAUGCAGAGGACACCAGACCACCAGACCAAGGCUUGUUUUGUGUCUUGCCAUUUUAUCUAUCCUUGAGAAUGGUUCAUGUGCAGCUGAGAAAAUAUGUACCCUGCAGCUGUUGGAUGAGAAGUUCUACAAAUGUCUGACAACUGAGAUGGACGAGCACUAGGAAACAUGAAGAUGCUCCGCGACUGUCAUUCCCCCAACCUGCAACCUUCUGCAACAUGAACAUGGAGCUGACAGACCAGAAACGAUGCCCAUACUUUAAGUUUGCACUCUUCCUGAUGCCCUGAUUUUGAGCACUGUUAGUAGGAGGGAACUCAAGCACUAGGUUCCAGUUUAUCAUUUGUAG